rnacentral:rRNA from 1 species
AUACGGAGGAUGCGAGCGUUAUCCGGAUUUAUUGGGUUUAAAGGGAGCGUAGGCGGGAGCUUAAGUCAGCGGUUAAAUGGUGCGGCUCAACCGUGCCCUGCCGUUGAAACUGGGUUUCUUGAGAGUGCAAGAGGCGGAUGGAAUUCAUGGUGUAGCGGUGAAAUGCUUAGAUAUCAUGAAGAACUCCGAUUGCGAAGGCAGUCCGCUGGGGCACGUCUGACGCUGAUGCUCGAAGGUGCGGGAAUCAAACAGGAUUAGAUACCCUGGUAGUCCGCACAGUAAACGAUGGACACUCGUGGUCGGCGACACACUGCCGGUCACCAAGCGAAAGCGAUAAGUGUCCCACCUGGGGAGUACGCCGGCAACGGUGAAACUCAAAUGAAUUGACGGGG